CGGAACACAGGUGCUGCAUGGCUGUCGUCAGCUCGUGUCGUGAGAUGUUGGGUUAAGUCCCGCAACGAGCGCAACCCUUAUCAUUAGUUGCUACGCAAGGGCACUCUAAUGAGACUGCCGGUGACAAACCGGAGGAAGGUGGGGAUGACGUCAAGUCCUCAUGGCCCUUAUGGGUAGGGCUUCACACGUCAUACAAUGGUCGGUACAGAGGGUUGCCAAGCCGCGAGGCGGAGCCAAUCCCACAAAGCCGAUCGUAGUCCGGAUCGCAGUCUGCAACUCGACUGCGUGAAGUUGGAAUCGCUAGUAAUCGUAGAUCAGCAUGCUACGGUGAAUACGUUCCCGGGCCUU
rnacentral:rRNA from 1 species